rnacentral:rRNA from 1 species
AGAGUUUGAUCCUGGCUCAGGACGAACGCUGGCGGCGUGCCUAAUACAUGCAAGUAGAACGCUGAAGAGAGGAGCUUGCUCUUCUUGGAUGAGUUGCGAACGGGUGAGUAACGCGUAGGUAACCUGCCUUGUAGCGGGGGAUAACUAUUGGAAACGAUAGCUAAUACCGCAUAACAAUGGAUGACACAUGUCAUUUAUUUGAAAGGGGCAAUUGCUCCACUACAAGAUGGACCUGCGUUGUAUUAGCUAGUAGGUGAGGUAACGGCUCACCUAGGCGACGAUACAUAGCCGACCUGAGAGGGUGAUCGGCCACACUGGGACUGAGACACGGCCCAGACUCCUACGGGAGGCAGCAGUAGGGAAUCUUCGGCAAUGGGGGCAACCCUGACCGAGCAACGCCGCGUGAGUGAAGAAGGUUUUCGGAUCGUAAAGCUCUGUUGUAAGUCAAGAACGAGUGUGAGAGUGGAAAGUUCACACUGUGACGGUAGCUUACCAGAAAGGGACGGCUAACUACGUGCCAGCAGCCGCGGUAAUACGUAGGUCCCGAGCGUUGUCCGGAUUUAUUGGGCGUAAAGCGAGCGCAGGCGGUUUGAUAAGUCUGAAGUUAAAGGCUGUGGCUCAACCAUAGUUCGCUUUGGAAACUGUCAAACUUGAGUGCAGAAGGGGAGAGUGGAAUUCCAUGUGUAGCGGUGAAAUGCGUAGAUAUAUGGAGGAACACCGGUGGCGAAAGCGGCUCUCUGGUCUGUAACUGACGCUGAGGCUCGAAAGCGUGGGGAGCGAACAGGAUUAGAUACCCUGGUAGUCCACGCCGUAAACGAUGAGUGCUAGGUGUUGGAUCCUUUCCGGGAUUCAGUGCCGCAGCUAACGCAUUAAGCACUCCGCCUGGGGAGUACGACCGCAAGGUUGAAACUCAAAGGAAUUGACGGGGGCCCGCACAAGCAGUGGAGUAUGUGGUUUAAUUCGACGCAACGCGAAGAACCUUACCAAGUCUUGACAUCCCUUGACGAUGCUGGAAACAGUAUUUCUCUUCGGAGCAAGGAGACAGGUGGUGCAUGGUUGUCGUCAGCUCGUGUCGUGAGAUGUUGGGUUAAGUCCCGCAACGAGCGCAACCCCUAUUGUUAGUUGCCAUCAUUCAGUUGGGCACUCUAGCGAGACUGCCGGUAAUAAACCGGAGGAAGGUGGGGAUGACGUCAAAUCAUCAUGCCCCUUAUGACCUGGGCUACACACGUGCUACAAUGGACAGAGCAGAGGGAAGCGAAGCCGCGAGGUGGAGCGAAACCCAUAAAACUGUUCUCAGUUCGGACUGCAGUCUGCAACUCGACUGCACGAAGAUGGAAUCGCUAGUAAUCGCGAAUCAGCAUGUCGCGGUGAAUACGUUCUCGGGCCUUGUACACACCGCCCGUCACACCAUGAGAGUCGGUAACACCCGAAGCCGGUGGCCUAACCGCAAGGAAGGAGCUGUCUAAGGUGGGACUGAUGAUUGGGGUGAAGUCGUAACAAGGUAUCCCUACGGGAACGUGGGGAUG